GUCAACGACCAUACCACGCGGAGUACAUCGGUUCUCAUCCGAUCACCGAGCGCGGUUAGUACUUAGAUGGGGGACCGCUUGGGAACACCGCGUGUUGUUGGCA
rnacentral:rRNA from 1 species